GAUGAACGCUGGCGGCGUGCCUAACACAUGCAAGUCGAGCGGCAGCGAGGGGUGCUUGCACCCUGUCGGCGAGCGGCGGACGGCUGAGUAGCGCGUGGGAACGUGCCCCAAAGUGAGGAAUAACUGCCCGAAAGGGUAGCUAAUACCGCAUAUUAUCUUCGGAUCAAAGGAUUUAUCCGCUUUGGGAGCGGCUCGCGUCGGAUUAGGUAGUUGGUGAGGUAAUGGCUCACCAAGCCGACGAUCCGUAGCUGGUCUGAGAGGAUGACCAGCCAGACUGGAACUGAGACACGGUCCAGACUCCUACGGGAGGCAGCAGUGAGGAAUCUUCCACAAUGGGCGAAAGCCUGAUGGAGCAACGCCGCGUGCAGGACGAAGGCCUUCGGGUUGUAAACUGCUUUUAUAAGUGAGGAAUAUGACGGUAACUGAUGAAUAAGGAUCGGCUAACUACGUG
rnacentral:rRNA from 1 species